AGUGAACGCUGGCGGUAGGCCUAACACAUACAAGUCGAACGGCAGCACAGUAAGAGCUUGCUCUUACGGGUGGCGAGUGGCGGACGGGUGAGGAAUACAUCGGAAUCUACUUUUUCGUGGGGGAUAACGUAGGGAAACUUACGCUAAUACCGCAUACGACCUACGGGUGAAAGCAGGGGAUCUUCGGACCUUGCGCGAUUGAAUGAGCCGAUGUCGGAUUAGCUAGUUGGCGGGGUAAAGGCCCACCAAGGCGACGAUCCGUAGCUGGUCUGAGGGGAUGGUCAGCCACACUGGAACUGAGACACGGUCCAGACUCCUACGGGAGGCAGCAGUGGGGAAUAUUGGACAAUGGGCGCAAGCCUGAUCCAGCCAUACCGCGUGGGUGAAGAAGGCCUUCGGGUUGUAAAGCCCUUUUGUUGGGAAAGAAAAGCAGCAGGUUAAUACCCCGCUGUUCUGACGGUACCCAAAGAAUAAGCACCGGCUAACUUCGU
rnacentral:rRNA from 1 species